UGAGGUCUUGUUAAAGCCAGAAAUUGAGAUUGUCUUGUUACAUUUAUUUAGAGGUGGCCUACACUUGGUUCUUUUUCUUUCUCAGCCAUGGUAAUUCUUUUCCAUUCUUGACCAACCACUAACUGCAAUAGGUAAUAGGAUUAGAAUAAACUUUCUCUUUUCAUCAAUUCCAUCAUGAUGAUGCCCAUCAAACUAGAGUUUCAGCUUUGCUGCUCGUUCAAUUGUCCUCAACAUGGAUUUCUGCUUUAUGGAGAGGUGAUUAAGGAGUCCAAAAAAUCCUUGGAAGCUUAACCAUAGUCCUAAGCCGAUAUGCAUGACCAAAAUCAUAUUGCCACAAUUAUAAAUGGCAUUAAGUUUGCGGGUGUCUUUUGCUCUUGGGCGUGGUUGAUUUACUUGCCAUACUGUUUUUACAAGUUUCUACAAAUUGUGCCGCUCUAAUUGACUCUCUCUUGGAAGGUUCCUCGACAGAAGCAUUGCAUCUUCCUUAAAAAGCACAGAACCAGCUAAUUAGCGAUAAGAGUAAUUAGCAAGUCAUGUUGCAUUCACUGAGAACGGAUAUCUUACACUCGGUUCUUUGGGUUGAGCUUCAUAGAACAACUUUAAUUUUAAAAAAUUAGCAUGCUUGUCAUUAUUGGCAACUGGGGAUCCUCCUUCUCAAGUUGUUCAGACUUCAGAAGGAGAUUUGAGGAGCUUUUAUAGGGGUCUUCGUUGGAGGGCAUUUGUAAG
rnacentral:misc_RNA from 1 species